GAACGCUGGCGGCAGGCCUAACACAUGCAAGUCGAGCGGUAACAUUUCUAGCUUGCUAGAAGAUGACGAGCGGCGGACGGGUGAGUAACGCGUAGAAAUCUACCUAGUAGUGGGGGAUAGCCCAGAGAAAUUUGGAUUAAUACCGCAUACGCCCUACGGGGGAAAGCGGGGGAUCUUCGGACCUCGUGCUAUUAGAUGAGUCUGCGUCGGAUUAGCUUGUUGGUGAGGUAAUGGCUCACCAAGGCGACGAUCCGUAGCUGGUCUGAGAGGAUGACCAGCCACACUGGAACUGAGACACGGUCCAGACUCCUACGGGGGCAGCAGUGGGGAAUAUUGCACAAUGGGCGCAAGCCUGAUGCAGCCAUGCCGCGUGUGUGAAGAAGGCCUUAGGGUUGUAAAGCACUUUCAGCAGUGAGGAAAGGGGUGUCGUUAAUAGCGCCAUCCUGUGACGUUAACUGCAGAAGAAGGACCGGCUAACUCCGUG
rnacentral:rRNA from 1 species